rnacentral:misc_RNA from 1 species
GAUGAAGAACGUAGCGAAAUGCGAUAAGUAUUGUGAAUUGCAGAAUCCAGUGAAUCAUCGAAUCUUUGAACGCACAUUGCGCCCGCCAGUAUUCUGGCGGGCAUGCCUGUUCGAGCGUCAUUUCAACCAUCAAGCCCCCGGCUUGUGUUGGGGACCUGCGGCUGCCGCAGGCCCUGAAAACCAGUGGCGGGCUCGCUAGUCACUCCGAGCGUAGUAAUACAUCUCGCUCAGGGCGUGCUGCGGGUUCCGGCCGUUAAAAAGCCUUAUUUACCCAAGGUUGACCUCGGAUCAGGUAGGAAGACCCGCUGAACUUAAGCAUAUCAAUAAGCGGAGGA